AUAAUAAUGAUAUCAAAAAGAUAUACAUAUUUAUUUUUUAAAUGUUUCUUGGAUAUUUUAGAUCUUUUAGAUAUCUUUUCAGAUAUCUUUUUUAUACUUUCUGAUCUAUGUAUGAUAUUACCAUUCAAUUAAGAUUAAUAUAUUUUAAAAAUAUAUUAUGAUACAAUAAUUUAAAUAAUUUAAUUUUAAAUCUCAAAAACAAAAGUGCAUAAGAAAGGAUUGCCUUACAUAUUUUCUGCUCUUUCGACAUUGCUGUUUGAUGUUUAUCAGAUAUUCGUUAUUUUGCUAGUUAAAGUAGCCCAUUGAAAUGUUCCUUACAUAAUUUACAAAAAUUUCUCGUUCGUUCAUACAGUUUCUCGUGGAAUUUGACGAAAGUUCGUAAAUUAGAAGAGAGAUACAAGAAAAUCACUUUCCACAUAUGCAAGUAUUGGAAAAGAAUAUACAGGAGAGAGAAAAAGAGAGAAAACUUCGACAAUCAAAUGUCUUUUGCCUAGCUACUAACAAUCUAUUCGAUCCGGAUAGACGCUGAAAUGUCAUGGAUAAUAUCUCGCCAUGAAAAUGUCACGUACAGAUGCAUCUUGGUGCAUACAAUCAAAUGUUACGCAACCGUGCGCUUCAACAUCGAUGAAACGAUUUUUCUUCCGUUUAUGUUUAUCGAACCAAGUCCCACUCUUCUUUAAGUGGAAGAAUUGCGCGCUGCGCCUUAAAUCGAAAUUUAUUCCACGACGGAAAUUUAUGCGUCGGCCAGCGACUGUCCGCGGACCAGGAUACGUUUUACGCGUGUGCAUUGCGUAAAUCACGGGGAAAGUCUCGUGGGCCGUGAUAAUGUCAAAAAGCCGAGACGGUUCGAUUGAUUUUGGGUCAGCAUGGAACGAGAGAGAACCUCUCGCACGCGAUGCCGAGACCGGACUCUGGUCGUUGACCGUGAAAAAAAAA